rnacentral:rRNA from 1 species
UACGUAGGGUGCGAGCGUUGUCCGGAAUUAUUGGGCGUAAAGAGCUCGUAGGCGGUGUGUCACGUCGUUCGUGAAAACCUGCAGCUUAACUGUGGGCGUGCGGUCGAUACGGGCAUCACUGGAGUUCGGCAGGGGAGACUGGAAUUCCUGGUGUAGCGGUGAAAUGCGCAGAUAUCAGGAGGAACACCGAUGGCGAAGGCAGCUCGCUGGGACGGUACUGACGCUGAGGCGCGAAAGCGUGGGGAGCGAACAGG